rnacentral:lncRNA from 1 species
CUUAGGAAAACAUCCCAAGAGCUCUCAAAUACUCUUACAGAAAAGUACGAGGAGAAGAUGCGAGUGAUGGAAAGAAAAAUGGUGGAUCUUCAGCAAUCUGCCAAUGCUGAGAAAGAACUGCGCGCCGACUUGGAACAACAAGUGUUGAAGCUAGAGAAGGAACUUCAGGCACUAACAACGAAACAGAACAUUGAAAAUGGUCAACUUUCCGAACAAAUUGCU